UACGAGGGGUCCUAGCGUUGUUCGGAAUCAUUGGGCGUAAAGAGCUCGUAGGUGGCUUAGUAAGUCAGGUGUGAAAUCCCAGGGCUCAACCCUGGAAGUGCACUUGAAACUGCAUAGCUUGAGUACGGUAGAGGUGAGUGGAAUUCCUGGUGUAGUGGUGAAAUACGUAGAUACGAUCCAGAACACCGAUUGCGUAGGCAGCUUACUAGGCUGUAACUGACGCUGAGGCACGAAAGCGUGGGGAGCGAACAGG
rnacentral:rRNA from 1 species